GGGUUCAUGUCACUCUGCCUCUCUUUUAUCUUGGGAAACAAAAAGUUAGGUGGGAAUUUUUACGGCGGCCCUGUCCUUUCUCUGUCCCCUUCCAUCAUGUGGCGUGUUUCACUGUUCAAUCCGAAUUUCCUGUGAUGUAGAUGAAACAAAUGAACUAUGCUUAUUCUCAACUGAUUCAGUAAAGCUUCUCUCUAAUCUCACCCCUUGGAAGGAAUGUUGGAAGAUAACACUCAGAAUCAUCAGAAUGUGGAGUUUAAUUGAUCAUAGGGAGCAGAAUGAAGAACAUGCUUUUCUUCGGCUUCUGAUAAUGGAUAAAGAAGCGUGAUGGAUGACGAUUUGCUUUUGAUGGUCCGCUCUGGUGUUUGCAGUGGCAGCGGUGGCACUACU